CAGAAUCUGCAGGCGGCAAGAGGGACCCCCGCUGCUCCUGGCCACUGCGGGCGGCUGCGGGAAUCCGGCAACAGUGGGGAUCCCUGCUGCUCCCAUCUGCUACUCCCUGGCACACCUAAGAGAUCUCCUUGCACUUCCACCUUUGCACUGGAAAACAGGCUGAACAUCAUGGGAUACAUUCAUCCUAGGACUAUGCCAGCUUCCACUAGCUUAAACUCAGACACAGGGUACCUGAGAUGGAAAAUCUACCAAGUGAUGAUAUGGUGAUGCACAGUAGCCAUCUCUAAUUCCCCUUCCACCAGGGGGCCCUAGAGGAGACUAGCACAGUCCAAAAAGUGGCUGGUGCUGGUCCAGGAGGAGGCAGGGUCCAAGUGGCCUCAGAGUGCAUUGAUUCAGCACCUAACAGCAGCAGUUAGUAGUGGUGCAGCUUCUGUGGAUCUCUGGAAGAUUUUUAAGCUGCUCCCCCUCAAAGGACAGCCCAAUGGAAAAGAGGCAGCCACCUCUGAUUAAAUAUCCCCAGCAAGAGUGAUUCUUGCUCAGUGAAUUCUGGUUCACGUUGUACCAGAAGUCUGUUGUUCGUUGCCUGAUGAAACCUUU